CCGCUGCUCCCCGCCCGGGUGCGUCAGCCUCCGGCCAGCACCUCGAGGGUCACGCCCUGUGUCGCACCAGCCGGUGCUGGGCUCUGCUAGCCUCUGAUCCCUUCGGAUGGAGAUUAUUGACCCCUCCUAGAGACGGCUUUUCCUGGUUUACCGUGAGCACGCACGGUGGCGCGUUACUUCCUGCCACGGGGCCUGGACGAGGGUUCUGGGCCCCUUCGCUGCGCCUGCUCUGCUCACAAACACCGUUGUGGCUCUGUACUUGGGAAAGCUUUUCAAUUAUUCAGAGAUUUUAAGAAACAUAAAAAGCUUAAAUCGGGCGUGGGGGUGCGCCCUUGUAGUCCCACCUAACUCGGAAGGCUGAGGCAGGAGGAUGUCACGAGCCCAACAGUUUCUUCUGAUCAAUCUAGAUAACAUAGUGAUAGUUUAAAAAAAAAUUCUGAGGGCUGAGGAUUUAGCUCAGUGGUUCUGCUGCUUGCCUCGCAAGCUCAAGGUCCAGAGUUCGAUCCCCGGUACCAAAAAAUAAAUACAUAGUCAUUUCAAUUAAAAAAAAAAAUUCUGAAGAUCUCUUUCCAGGAAGUGCUGGAUGAAGAAGUUUUCAGUAAAGAGAAAAUUAACUGAGACAUUAUCGUACAAUGAAAGCUAAAAUGACUAUGAGAAGACAUAGACCGGAGAGGGGAGAAGUUACACUAUGGAUUAACAAGAGUUUUUUGUUAGUAGAAGUUUGGAGUACAUGAUGUUUAUAUUCAUCUUAGAGAUCUUUCCAGAUCAUUUGUCACUUCCAUUCCUGCUGCUUUGGUUCUCCUAUGACCUGGGGACCUCUACGGAUUGCCUGAGAAUCAAUAGACUUCAGCAGAGCACCUCAAGAGCUCUGGAAGAAAUGAAGUCUGGUACUUCAAUUUUAAAAUGAUAAACUUUAUGCCAUUCUACACUGGGCAUUCA